CUCUGUUAGACACCAUUUGAGUUGAAUGUGGAUCUCACUGUGCUUGUAAAGGAAUUCACAGGCAGUCUGACUCGAAGCUGAUGAAGCAAUGCGAGGCGACGGACUUCAAGACUGUUUCGCAUGGAACACCCUUAUCCAGGCCGACGGGUCAAGAAGGUGUGUUCUACCUUUCAGCCAUCAGCGGAGAUGAUUCAACCACGAACAGCGACAUGGAUGAGAAUAGGAAAGUGGAGGAGGCUGACGUAGAGGAUGAAGACAUGGAUAUUGCAGAGUGAUUGUAAAUAAUGAAUACACUGUCAGUUACCUGAAUAGGUUUUUCCUGGUAUCUGCUGUAAUAUUGUGAGCUGUGUGUGUGUGUGUGUCGGGUUUACAGUCUACUUCAAUUAUAUUCAUCUGUUUUUUUUUCUUUCAUGUUUCCAAAGUGCAAAACAAAAACUACAACUGCAAAAGAGAAAAGGGAACCGAUUAUCAAGUGUAAUAAAACUCUAAGAUGUUAUUUUGUAAUGAUUUAUCAAUUGAAAUUACAGAGGCAUUGAUACAGUACUGUGUGUAUUACAGCCGUUAAAUAAAAAAAAAGCAUUCUUGUAGCUUUGAGCAGUGUGGUUGUGUACCCAGCUACCUCCAGACCCUCAUCUCUCCCUACACCCCCACUCGACCUCUCCGCUCCGUCUGCACUAGAAGACUGGCUCCACCUCCUCUACGCUCCCCUGCCUCCAGAGCCCGCUCCUUCUCCACCCUCGCUCCGCAGUGGUGGAAUGACCUCCCUACAGAUGUCAGGACUGCCCAGUCCCUGACCACAUUCCGGCGCCUCCUUAAGACUGACCUCUUCAAACAGCACCUGUAGAACUCCUCUGUUGUAUCCUGGGACACUAUCACCCUUCAUGUAAAUGUGCUUUAUUUUGCUGUUAUCUGCCCCCUAUUUUACUGCAUUUAAUCCUAUACUUCAGAAUAUUGUAAUCUGCCAAGUGUUUAACCUGUAGUAUUUUGUACUUAAUCAUAUCCUGAUGUAACUAUCACUAUUUAAUCAUAUCCUGAUGUAACUAUCACUAUUAUCUGCUGUAUUAUUGAAUUGUGGUUUGUCACACUUGAACAAAAAUUAUUGUAUUUCUUGCUCUUAUUGUAUGACUUGUAUUGUAACACUUGAAUGUAUUUGUAUUUGCUUGCGAUUGUAAGUCGCCCUGGAUAAGGGCGUCUGCUAAGAAA